rnacentral:rRNA from 1 species
UACGAAGGGGGCUAGCGUUGUUCGGAAUUACUGGGCGUAAAGCGCACGUAGGCGGAUAUUUAAGUCAGGGGUGAAAUCCCAGAGCUCAACUCUGGAACUGCCUUUGAUACUGGGUAUCUUGAGUAUGGAAGAGGUAAGUGGAAUUGCGAGUGUAGAGGUGAAAUUCGUAGAUAUUCGCAGGAACACCAGUGGCGAAGGCGGCUUACUGGUCCAUAACUGACGCUGAGGUGGCGAAA